rnacentral:pre_miRNA from 1 species
AGCUUUCUGAAUUUGUGCUGAGAUUUCGUCAAACACCAACCUACUAGGGCUGGUGAGAUUUUUGAGAUAAGUGAAGUG